GGAGAGAUGACCGAGUGGCUGAAGGUGCACGCUUGGAAAGCGUGUGUACUUAACGGUACCAUGGGUUCGAAUCCCAUUCUCUCCGCCA
rnacentral:tRNA from 1 species